UACUCGAGUGGCGAACGGGUGAGUAACACGUGGGUGAUCUGCCCUGCACUCUGGGAUAAGCCUGGGAAACUGGGUCUAAUACCGGAUAGGACCAUGCUUUAGUGUGUGUGGUGGAAAGUUUUUUAGGUGUGGGAUGAGCCCGCGGCCUAUCAGCUUGUUGGUGGGGUAAUGGCCUACCAAGGCGGCGACGGGUAGCCGGACUGAGAGGUUGGUCGGCCACAUUGGGACUGAGAUACGGCCCAG
rnacentral:rRNA from 1 species